AAUCAACGCUGGCGGCGCGCUUAACACAUGCAAGUCGAACGAGAAAGCCGGGGCAACCUGGUGAGUAGAGUGGCGUACGGGUGAGUAACACGUGGAUCAUCUACCUCUUGGCGGGGAAUACCUCUGGGAAACCGGAGACAAUACCGCAUAAGUCCGUGAGGAGAAACCUGAAAGGGGCCGAGAGAGGAGUCCGCGGCCGAUUAGCUUGUUGGUAGGGUAACGGCCUACCAAGGCGAAGAUCGGUAGCCGGCCUGAGAGGGCACACGGCCACACUGGCACUGAAACACGGGCCAGACUCCUACGGGAGGCAGCAGUGGGGAAUCUUGCACAAUGGGGGAAACCCUGAUGCAGCGACGCCGCGUGAGCGAUGAAGCCCUUCGGGGUGUAAAGCUCUUUCGACGGGAACGAUAAUGACGGUACCCGGAGAAGAAGCUGCGGCUAACUACGUGCCAGCAGCCGCGGUAAUACGUAGGCAGCAAGCGUUGUUCGGAGUUACUGGGCGUAAAGAGUGCGUAGGCGGUGCCCUAAGUCUGUCGUGAAAUCUCCCGGCUUAACUGGGAGGGUGCGGUGGAAACUGGGGUGCUUGAGUGUGGGAGAGGUAAGCGGAAUUCCUGGUGUAGCGGUGAAAUGCGUAGAUAUCAGGAGGAACACCGGUGGUGUAGACGGCUUACUGGACCACGACUGACGCUGAGGCACGAAAGCGUGGGUAGCAAACAGGAUUAGAUACCCUGGUAGUCCACGCCCUAAACGAUGCAUACUUGGUGUGAGCCAUUCAUUUGGUUCGUGCCGGAGCUAACGCGUUAAGUAUGCCGCCUGGGGAGUACGGUCGCAAGGCUGAAACUCAAAGGAAUUGACGGGGGCCCGCACAAGCGGUGGAGCAUGUGGUUUAAUUCGACGCAACGCGAAGAACCUUACCUGGGCUCGAACGGCUUCCUAACGGCUUUGGAAACAGAGCUAUCCCGCAAGGGAGUGGA
rnacentral:rRNA from 1 species